AGAGUUUGAUCCUGGCUCAGGAUGAACGCUGGCGGUGUGGAUUAGGCAUGCAAGUCGAAUGUCACUUGUGACAUGGCGAACGAGUCAGUAACACGUAGAUAACGAACCUUAGAGUUUGGCAUAAUCCCGCGAAAGCGGGGCUAAUUCCAGAUAGUCCCUUUACUAUUAAUUAGUUUAGGGUAAAGAUUUAUCGCUCUGAGAUCGGUCUGCGGCCUAUCAGCUUGUUGGUGAGGUAACGGCCCACCAAGGCUAUGACGGGUAGGGGGCAUGAGAGUGUGUUCCCCGACGCUAGCACUGCGACACGGGCUAGACUCCUACGGGAGGCAGCAGUCGAGAAUAUUGGACAAUGGACGAAAGUCUGAUCCAGCGACACCGCGUGUUUGAAGAAGCCCUUCGGGGUGUAAAAAACUUUUAUAGAGGAAGAAUGCCUUUUUGGCAUGACGGUACUCUACGAAUAAGGGGAUGCUAAUCACGUGCCAGCAGCCGCGGUAAAACGUGAUCCCCGAGCGUUAUCCGGAUUUAUUGGGCGUAAAGCGUCUGUAGGCGGUAUAGCAAGUUUGAUGUUAAAGUUUUUGGGCUUAACCUAAAAAAUGCAUCGAAAACUACUAAACUAGAGGGCAUUAGAGGUUGGCAGAACGGUCGGUGUAGGGGUGAUAUCCGUUGAUAUCGACUGGAAUACCGAAAGCGAAGGCAGCCAACUGGGGUGACCCUGACGCUCAGAGACGAAAGCAUGGGUAGCAAAAAGGAUUAGAUACCCUUGUAGUCCAUGCUGUAAACGAUGGAUACUAGCUAUUUGAAGUGUCGACCCUUCAAGUGGCGAAGCUAACGCGUUAAGUAUCCCGCCUGGGAAGUACGGCCGCAAGGCUAAAACUCAAAGGAAUAGACGGGGUCUCACACAAGCGGUGGAUCAUGUGGCUUAAUUCGACAGUAAGCGAGGAACCUUACCAGAACUUGACAUGAUAGUGAAAUUCCAGAGAAAUUUGGAACUCCCGCAAGGACACUAUCACAGGUGUUGCAUGGUUGUCGUCAGCUCGUACCUUGAGGCGUACGCUUAAGUGCGGUAACGGGCGCAACCCUUGUCCUAUGUUUUAUAUGUCAUAGGAGACUGCCUAGGAUAACUAGGAGGAAGGUGAGGAUGACGCCAAAUCAGCAUGACCCUUUGACGUUCUGGGCUGCACACGUGAUACAAUGACUACUACAAUGGGUUGCCAAGUCGUAAGGCGGAGCUAAUCCCAUCAAAAGUAGCCUCAGUUCGGAUUGAGGUCUGCAACUCGACCUCAUGAAGCCGGAAUCGCUAGUAAUCGCCAAUCAGCCAUGUGGCGAUGAAUACGUUCUUGAGACUUGUACUCACCGCCCGUCAACUCAAGCGAGCUGGGAAUACCCAAAGUCCCACGUUAGAUGUGGGCCUAAGGUAGAUUCAGUGAGAAGGAGUAAGUCGUAACAAGGUAACC
rnacentral:rRNA from 1 species